rnacentral:rRNA from 1 species
AAGCGUGGGGAGCGAACAGGAUUAGAUACCCUGGUAGUCCACGCUGUAAACGAUGCAUACUAGGUGUUGGUCUUUCGGGGCCAGUGCUGCAGUUAACGCAUUAAGUAUGCCACCUGGGGAGUACGUCGGCAACGAUGAAACUCAAAGGAAUUGACGGGGGCCCGCACAAGCGGUGGAGCAUGUGGCUUAAUUCGAUGCAACGCGAGGAACCUUACCUGGGCUAAAUCUACAGCGCUACCUCUGGAAACAGAGGGUUCUCUAUGAGACGCUAUAGAAGGUGCUGCAUGGCUGUCGUCAGCUCGUGCCGUGAGGUGUUGGGUUAAGUCCCGCAACGAGCGCAACCCCUGUGGUUAGUUACCAGCACAUAAUGGUGGGGACUCUAGCCAGACUGCCUACGCAAGUAGUGAGGAAGGUGGGGACGACGUCAAGUCAUCAUGGCCCUUACGUCCAGGGCUGCACACGUGCUACAAUGGAUGGUACAGAAGGUCGCUACUCAGCAAUGAGGUGCAAAUCUUUAAAACCAUUCUCAGUUCGGAUCGGAGUCUGCAACUCGACUCCGUGAAGUUGGAAUCGCUAGUAAUCGCGUAUCAGCAAUGACGCGGUGAAUACGUUCCCGGGCCUUGUACACACCGCCCGUCAAGCGAUGGAAGUCAGGAGUACCUGAU